rnacentral:lncRNA from 10 species
CCUAAUUAGCAAGAAUAUAGAACGUGAACAACAGCAUUAGCAACCUUGACCUACCGUCCCUGACCUAGAUCCUGAAUUCCAGUUGACACCAAGCAGUUUGAAGACCCCUACAAAGGAAUGGGAUCAGCAUGAGAAUACAGUUUUUUUUCCUCUGUCCCAUAACCCUGCACUCUUAACCAAUCAACCGUCUCCACACUUUGGCUCCAUCUAAAACCCUUAAAAUC